rnacentral:rRNA from 1 species
UCUGUGAUGCCUCUUAGAUGUUCUGGGCCGCACGCGCGCUACACUGACAGAGCCAGCGAGUUUUUCACCUUGGCCGGAAGGUCUGGGUAAUCUUGUGAAACUUUGUCGUGCUGGGGAUAGAGCAUUGCAAUUAUUGCUCUUCAACGAGGAAUUCCUAGUAGGCGUGAGUCAUCAGCUCGCGUCGAUUACGUCCCUGCCCUUUGGUACACACCGCA